rnacentral:pre_miRNA from 1 species
AUAAUACUCCCUCCGUCCGAAAAUACUUGUCGGGGAAAUGGAUGUAUCUAGACGAAUUUUAGUUAUAGAUACAUCCAUUUUUGCGACAAGUAAUUCCGGACGGAGGGAGUAGUUC